GGAUAUGAGGGGGACAUCUGUCACUCCAUUGACCAUCAUGGUUGAUUUGGCUGGCCAGGUGGAUGUCCCCUUCUUCCCUCAUGUAUCCUUGUGCAGCCCACCAGAAGCUGCAUGCUUGGUCCAGGAGGAUGACAUUCCCCAGUAGACAAGGAUUGUUUUUUGGCCAAGGGCAUAUGAGUAACUGGUGCUCCCCAGCUAGAAACUCCAAACAAGGCUCUCAGGGUCCAUUUGUAGGAAAAUGUAGAGUAGUCAAGCUUCCAAGACUCCAGGUGCCUCCAAAUAAGUUGUUU
ensembl:misc_RNA 7SK 7SK RNA